GUGAGGAAUAUUGGACAAUGGGCGCAAGCCUGAUCCAGCCAUGCCGCGUGCAGGAAGACGCAUCUAUGGUGUGUAAACUGCUUUUGUACGGGAAGAAACACUCCCUCGUGAGGGAGCUUGACGGUACCGUAAGAAUAAGGAUCGGCUAACUCCGUGCCAGCAGCCGCGGUAAUACGGAGGAUCCAAGCGUUAUCCGGAAUCAUUGGGUUUAAAGGGUCCGUAGGCGGGUUAAUAAGUCAGUGGUGAAAGCCCAUCGCUCAACGAUGGAACGGCCAUUGAUUCUGUUAGACUUGAAUUACAAGGAAGUAACUAGAAUAUGUAGUGUAGCGGUGAAAUGCUUAGAUAUUACAUGGAAUACCAAUUGCGAAGGCAGGUUACUACUUGUGGAUUGACGCUGAUGGACGAAAGCGUGGGGAGCGAACAGGAUUAGAUACCCGGGUAGUCC
rnacentral:rRNA from 1 species